rnacentral:rRNA from 1 species
CUGCGGCUGCUUACCAUGCAAGUCGAACGGAGAUUCAGCAAUGGAUCUUAGUGGCGAACGGGUGAGUAACGCGUAGGCAAUCUGCCUUCUAGAUGGGGACAACAUCCCGAAAGGGGUGCUAAUACCGAAUGUUGUAAUUGGUUCGCAUGGACUAGCUACUAAAGGUGGCCUCUGAAUAUGCUACCGCUAGAAGAUGAGCCUGCGUCUGAUUAGCUAGUUGGAGGGGUAACGGCCCACCAAGGCUUCGAUCAGUAGCCGGUCUGAGAGGAUGAACGGCCACACUGGGACUGAGACACGGCCCAGACUCCUACGGGAGGCAGCAGUGGGGAAUCUUCCGCAAUGGACGAAAGUCUGACGGAGCAACGCCGCGUGAGUGAAGAAGGUUUUCGGAUCGUAAAGCUCUUUCGUUAGGGACGAACGUGCUCUUUGUGAAUAAUGAGGAGUAAUGACGGUACCUAAAUAAGAAGCCACGGCUAACUACGUGCCAGCAGCCGCGGUAAUACGUAGGUGGCAAGCGUUGUCCGGAAUUAUUGGGCGUAAAGCGCGCGCAGGCGGGAUAUCAAGUCUGUCUUAAAAGUGCGAGGCUCAACCUCGUGAGGGGACGGAAACUGGUAUUCUUGAGUGUCGGAGAGGAAAGUGGAAUUCCAAGUGUAGCGGUGAAAUGCGUAGAGAUUUGGAAGAACACCAGUGGCGAAGGCGACUUUCUGGACGAUGUCUGACGCUGAGGCGCGAAAGCUAGGGGAGCGAACGGGAUUAGAUACCCCGGUAGUCCUAGCCGUAAACGAUGGGUACUAGGUGUAGGGGGUAUCGACCCCUCCUG